GGAGCCUUGCUAUAGUUUCUUUUGACAAAUGGCGUUUAUAUUGGAUUAUAUGAAUUGACAGAGAGAGAUGGAAGAGUUGCGCGAGAUUGCGAGAGCUCAUUAUCACGCAAGUUCUCAACAAGUUUAGGAUUUAGCACAUGAAUUCUUCAAUUCUAUGGAUAGUGAUGGCGAUGGCCGGAUUGAUCUGCCUGAGUUCCUAGCAUUCGUGAGACAGGAAGGCUAUUACCAGAUGCAUAAUCGUUACUUUUUCAAGGAGUUAGAUAGAGAUGGGAAUUGAGGAGAGUGUCCAUGUGUGGGCUAUUUUAUCUAGACUAGAUUCUACCAAUCAUUGUUCAAACACAUUCGGUUAGUCCCUUAUCUCACUUAUUCAUAGCGGCUACUCUCUUGUCGAAACCAAUAGCAAAUAACUGAAUAUUGUUUCCAGUUGAAGCAUUUGUAAAACAUGUUUAGAUUGAUGUAAUUGAAGAUUCUAAUAAUCUUGUUGAAAGCAACUAGUUUAAUCAAAUAAAACAGGGGAUUACCUCAUUUCGUUUAAUUAUUGCCAUAAGAAUCCAGUAACUCCUUGCUAAAAAGGGUCAACUAUCAUACCAAUAUUGAAAAGUAUUCUUCCAAUUGUUAAUUGAAAGGAAUUUGAUAUUUUCAUUCUCAAUCUUUGAGACAUGUUAGUUGAUGAGUUUGUUUCACUCAUGAUAUUUGUACAAUUUUAGCAUGAUUAAAUGCUAGAUCAUGUGAGUAUUGAACGUUUUUUAUGUGUUUGUUAGUGUUGUUUUGAAGAUUAGGAGAAGGGAUAUGAAAAUAGGUGUUAAACUGGACGAAGAGGCCAAAAACAUGGAAUUGGGGCAGAAAGACGGUGCUUAGGCACUACGAAACUGAAAAAAAAGAUGAAAUUUGGACCCGAGAGGUAGCGCCCAGGAGUCCCAAACGCUAUCAUCAGCACCUAGGCGCUGCGAUUGAAUAUCUAGGGAGCGUUUUUGGGCCAUUUUUAAAUCCAUAAAAAUCCUACUUCUAGAUAAAAUGGAGGGGUACAUAUAAAUACAUCUUUCUCAUACUUUUGAAGGGUUCUUGACAGAUUGGAGAGAAGACAACAAGAAGGGAGAUUCAAAAGAGAAAUUCAAGAAGAUUAACACCAAGCAAUUUGAGAUUAGAAGCAUUCAUUGAAAGCGGAAAGAGAUCUUGGUGCAAGAAUUCUACUUUUUCUUCAACAUCUUUAUUACAAACUUGUUGAUGUAUUCUAAGACAAUUUUCUACUUUUCUUCUUGUAUUAUGAGUAGCUAAAUUCAUUGUUAGGGGGAAUAAUGUAACCAAUUGGGAUAUUUUACAUUCUCUUAUUAAGACUUUCAGUUUUUAAUUCUUCCAUAUGUUGAUUUUGCUAUGAGUUGAAUGCAUUAAAUUAUCUGAUCAAUAAUUUGAUGAUUUUUGUGAAUUCUUUACAAAUAGAUAUAUGAGUUUAGGAUUUAGACUAUAUAGUAAAAUCUAGUAUAUUGGUAUAACGAGUAGAUAUACCUAUACCAAUUAUUGCGGUCAUAAUUGAAUUCCUAAGACAUAGAACUCGUUUAACUAAGUUGAAUUUACAUAGAGAUAUGAAAUUUAAUUGGUUGAAUAGGCUCAAUGAGAACUUGAGUGGGGUAAAUUGAAUACAAUAGAGGAAUUCGACCGAGUGCUACAUUAGAAUUGAGUUUUAAUUUGAGAUGUAAAUGUGAUCAAUUGGUGAAGUUAUUCUACCUUAACAUCCAUUCAUUAUUUGAUUCUCCAACGAAUCGUGUGAACAUUCAUUUAUUUUCUAGAAUUUAGAUUAAAACCCAGAUUUUACAACCUUUAAUUGUUUUAGUUAAAUAGUAGUUAAAGAAAAAUUGAAUUAAGUGCUAGAAAAUAAUCCUUGUGGGAUCGACAAACAGGACUCUUAGGUCCACUAUUACUUGUUAUGGGUCGUACACUUGCAAAACAAAAUUCAACAACAUAUUUUUGGCGCCGUUGCCGGGGACUAUUUCUUCUAGUCUCAAUUAAUUUUUAUUUUAAUUGUUAUUUGAUUUGUUUAUUUUUCUUUUAUUUAAAGAAAAUUGUGUUCGUUGUAUGCUCCGUGCCCAAGGCGACGAUAUUGAACCGUUUGAUUUGGAGAUAGAACGUACCUUCAGACGAAGACGCAAAGAACACAAACAAAAAUAGCAACAUCAAAUGGCUGACAAUCAAAAAAUCCAUAUCCCUAUUCAGCCGAUUGGACAAAUGGCCGCAAGAGUGGCACCACCGGAACAGCAGCAUGAGUGAGGGGAAAUAAAUGAAGGUGAUUUGCCAGUAUCAAUGUUCCUGACACCUAUAGCAGCACACAUGCGCUCCAGUAUCGUGUAUCCAGAUUUUGGGGUGAAUAACUUUCAGAUUCGGCCAAAUUGGAUUAACUUGAUAAGCAACACCCUGCAAUUCUACGGGCUACCUCAAGAGAAUCCAAACAUGCAUAUCUCUAGAUUUCUCAGAAGCUGUCAGAACUUUUAUGCUCCGGGGGUCAAUGAAGAUGUUAUUAAACUACGACUAUUCCCAUUUACAUUGAGAGAUGCUGCAUUGGAGUGGUUAGAUGCUGAGCCUCACGCUAGCAUUACUACAUGGGAAGAACUAACCAGAAAGUUCUGUAAUAAAUUUUUCCCACCGAUGAGGGUAGCUAAAAUUAGAUUAGAAAUUCAAAAUUUUCAACAGAAAGAGGGAGAAAGCUAUCACGAAACAUGGAAUGGGUUUAAUGAGUUGAUGAGAAAAUGCCCAAACCAUGGAAUUGCUAUAGGUAAUCAAGUGCAGUACUUCUACACUUGACUUAUACCACUAUCAAAAUCCCAAGUCGAUGCCUCAGCUGGAGGAUCAAUUAUAGGAAAAUCUGUGCAGCAAACCAUGGAACUGUUUGAGUUGAUUGCCACUACACAUUCAAUGUUCUCAUUGGAAAGAGUGGCACCACCGAAGACAGGAGGAAUGUAUGAGUUAGAAGGCACAACAGCUACCAAUGCCCAAAUAGUAGCAUUGACAAAACAAGUGGAGUUAUUGGUGAAAUCACAAAUGAAAGGAGCACAUGCAGUGAUAGCUAGUCCAUCAUACGAGAAUUGCAGGGCUAACAUCUAACAGAAAACUGCACAUCUAUAGGCUAUCCCGACGAAUAGGUCAAUUUCAUUCAGAAUGGGUCUCGAAAUUUUAAUCCAUUUGCUCAAACGUACAACCAAGGAUGGAGACUACCCAAACUUCAGAUGGUCGAAUAAUCAACAAGGGAACAGUUCAAAUAAUGCCCAACAGGAGAAAAAAUAAAGUUUGGGGGAGAUGUUCAACCAGUACAUGCAGAAGACUGACAAGGUGUUUCAACAAAUUGAUACUAACUUUCAGAAUCAACAAGCAUCAAUCAAGAAGUUGGAAAAAUAAAUUGGUCAAAUAAUUCAACAGCUUGCAGAACGCUCACAAGGGACAUUGCCAGGCAACACAAUGGUUAAUCCAAAAGAGCAAGUGCAAGCUAUUACUACCAGGAGUGGGUUGCAACUUCUAGAAAUACAUGUGAAGAGACCAGAGCGAAAAGAAAAUGAAAUAAUGGGUGAAGAGGCUGGGAAAGAAGUAGAGUUUGAACAACAAAUUGACAAGGAGAACGAAAGGAAAAAAACACCUGCAGUGAGAGCACCCAGCCCCGUGAAGGCUUAUGUCCCACCAAUUCCCUUCCCUCAAAGGUUACAAAGAAAGAAGUUGGAUAAUCAGUUUGCCAAGUUUGUGGAGAUUUUCAAGAAACUGCACAUCAAUAUUCCUUUUGUAGACGCAAUUGCCCAAAUGCCCAGCUAUACAAAAUUCUUGAAAGAGAUCCUAUCUAACAAAAGGAAGCUGGAAGAACAUGAGACAGUAUGCUUGAACGAGGAGUGCAGUGAAAUACUAUUGAGAAAGCUACCUCCUAAACUAAAAGACCUAGAGAGUUUCACUAUACGUUGCACAAUUGGUUCUAAUUUCUUUGAACAUUCUUUAUGUGAUUUAGGUGCCAGUGUUAAUUUGAUGCCUCUCUCUGUUUACAGGUCUCUUGGAUUAGGAGAAGCAAAACCUACAACAAUCUUUUUGCAACUGGCCGACAGAUCGAUCAAACGACCAAAGGGAAUUAUUGAAGAUGUGCUGGUAAAAGUUGACAAAUUUAUUUUUCCGACCGAUUUCAUUAUUUUGGAUAUGGAAGAGGACUCAAAUAUUCCUCUGAUCUUGGGAAGACCGUACUUGGCUACUGGGAGAGCAUUGAUUGAUGUUUAUGAUGGAAAAAUGAUUCUUUGAGUGGACAAUGAGCAAGUCAUAUUCAACUUGUUCAAGGCAAUGAAAUACCCAUUGACUUCCAACACUUGCUGCCAAGUUGAUGUUCUUGAAGAGCUUGUAGUGGAUACAUUUGAUAUAGAGCAUCACACAAAUCUUUGUGAGGCAGAACUUGCACAAUUGGAAGCAACAAAUGCAGGAAAAACUAAAUGUGUUGUCAAUUUAGCCGAGCAACCUAUAGGAAGAAGGCAUUGGUAGUAUAAAUCUCUAGGAGACAACCCUUCUUCCCCGGUACCCUCAGUGGAAAAGGCACCCACUCUUGAACUAAAGCCCUUACCUUCCCAUCUUCAUUAUGCAUAUUUGGGAGAAUAUUCAACACUGCCAGUAAUCAUUGCAAAUGACAUGACAAGGGAAGAGGAGAAUAAAUUGUUGGCGGUAUUCAGGCAGCACAAAAUGGCAAUUGGAGGGACAAUAGCUGACAUAAGAGGGAUCAGUCCAACUCUUUGCAUGCACAAGAUUUUAAUGGAGGACGGGUCAAGGGCAUCAGUGGAAGGACAACGCCGAUUGAAUCCAACCCUGAAAGAAGUCGUACGAAAAGAAGUGCUGAGAUUACUGGAUGUAGGAAUGAUUUAUCCCAUAUCUUAUAGUCCAUGGGUGAGUCCUGUACAUGUUGUACCUAAAAAGGUUGGAAUCACAGUGGAGAAGAACGAGAACAACGAGUUGAUACCAACACAGUUAGUGACAGGGUGGAGAGUAUGCAUAGAUUAUAGAAAAGCCACAUAAUGCAACCAGAAAUGACCAUUUUCCAUUGCCAUUCAUUGAUCAGAUGUUGGAAAGGUUGGCAUGAAAUUCUCAUUAUUGCUUUCUAGAUGGAUAUUCAGGGUACAAUCAGAUAGUAAUUGCUCCAGAAGACCAAGAGAAGAUAACAUUCACAUGCCCUUAUGGAACGUCUGCGUUUAGAGGAAUGCCUUUUGGUUUAUUCAAUGCACCGACAACCUUUCAACAAUGCAUAUUGGCCAUCUUUUCUGACAUGGUAGAAAAGUACAUUGAGGUUUUUAUGGACGAUUUUUCUGUGUUUGGAGAUUCCUUUGACAAUUGCUUGGAGCGGUUGGCUCUUGUAUUGCAAAGAUGUGAGGAGAAGAACCUUGUGCUUAAUUGGGAAAAAUGUCAUUUCAUGGUAAAGGAAGUAGUAGUACUGGGACAUCGAAUUUCUGCACAGGGGAUUGAAAUGGACAAAGCCAAAAUACAGGUGAUUGAGAAAUUGUAGCCACCUAAUUCAGUAAAGGAGAUCAGGAGUUUUCUGGGACAUGCAGGGUUUUAUAGAAGAUUCAUUCAAGACUUUGCAAAAAUUACGAAACCGUUGUGCAACCUACUGGAGAAAGAUAUACCAUUUCAAUUUUCUGAUGAGAGUUUGAAAGCCUUCAACACUUUGAAAGAAAAAUUGACAUCGACACCUGUGAUAGUGGCUCCAGAUUGGGAAUUACCUUUUGAGCUCAUGUGUGACGCCAAUGACUUUGCAGUGGGGGCAGUGCUUGGACAACGCAACGAAAAAGUAUUUCAUGUUAUCUGCUACGCUAGCAAAACAUUAAAUGAUGCUCAGAUCAACUAUGCAACAACUGAAAAGGAAUUGCUUACAGUUGUUUUUGCUUUUGACAAAUUUCAUUCUUAUUUGAUUGGGUCCAAGGUGAUAGUUUAUACAGACCAUGCAGCUCUGAAGUAUUUGUUUGAGAAUAAGGAUGCAAAACCAAGGCUAAUUCGCUGGGCGCUGUUACUACAAGAAUUUGACAUCGCGAUUCGUGAUAAAAAAGGAACAGAAAAUCAGGUAACGGAUCACUUAUCAAGGAUAGAGCAACAGCAGGAUUUAGAUGAUAUGAAUAAUAAUGAGGUCUUCCCAGAUGAACAGUUACUGCAAGUAGAAAAAGCUCUGUGGUAUGCAGACAUUGUUAAUUACUUAGCCAGUGGCUAUAUAGAUUCGGAUCUCACCUAUCAGCAAAAGAAGAAGCUCAGUCAUGAAGCGAAAUUCUAUUACUGGGAUGAUCCAAAUUUAUAUAGGAGAGGGGCGGACCAGAUCAUUAGGAGAUGUGUGCUUGAGGAUGAAAUGAAACCGAUCCUUUCAUGAGUAAUGCUUCGGCUUAUGGAGGGCACUUUAGCCCCACUAAAAUAGCAGCAAAGGUGCUCCAAUGUUGUUUCUUUUAGCCUACAUUGUUCAAGGACUGCCACAAUUUCUGUAGACCAUGCUAUAAGUGUCAAAGAACAGGUAACAUAUCAGAGCGUCGCAAGAUGCCACUUAACAACAUUUUGGAAAUGGAAAUAUUUGAUGUCUGGGGGAGUUGAUUUUAUGGACCCGUUUCCAUCAUUUUACAACAAUCGGUACAUCCUCGUUGUGAUGGACUAUGUUUCAAAAUGGGGAGAAGCUAAAGCAUUGCCUACAAAUGACACAAGGGUGGUGGUGGACUUCAUAAAGAAAAGGUUAGACCUCGAAAUGGCUGGAGAAACAAGAGUACUACUGCUACGUGAGUUGGAGAAAUUCAAAAGAGAGACAUAUAAGAAUGUAUCUAUCUACAAGGAAAGGACAAAGCAGUGGCACGACAAGAACAUCAGGCAACAAAAUUUUCGAGUGGGAGAUCAAGUGCUAUUAUAUAAUUCCCGGCUUAAGCUUUUUCUAGGAAAAUUGAAGUCUAGAUGGUUCGGUCCUUUUACGGUCUCUCAGGUGUUUCCCUACAGGAUAGCUGAAUUGCACCAUCCAACUAAAGGAAAUUUCAAAGUAAAUGACCAACGCAUCGAGUAUUAUGUGGAAGAUUUCCCCACCGCUAAAGAGAGUCUCGAUCUAGCUGUUCCCGAAUAACUGCGGCACUAUAUCCAGCUAAUAACUUAAAAGAAGCGCUUCUUGGGAGGCAACCCAAGCUCUACCCUUUAUUUGAUCAUUGGUUUUUGCUUUGAUUUUGUUGUUCCUUUAAUAACCUAUGCUAUCGUAGUAACACUUUUUUUUUUUUUUUUUGUAGGAAAAUCCAUAAAGGUUACAUAUUGCGGAAUUUAAGUUCUACAAUGAAAAUGAAUGAGUGUGAUAAGGAGAAGGAGUUUAUUAAAAAAAACGAAAAGGGGUAGUAACGCAGUGCCCAAGCACUGAGCGCUGUGAAACUGUCGAACGGCAAAAACGCAACGCCCCCGAUUCGAUAGAAACUCAACGUCCAGGCGCUGCAUCCUCCCCCCCUCCCCACAUUUUUUUUAUUUUUUUUUUCUUCUUUUCUAUUUCUUAUAACCUCAACCCUUCUCCCUCCUCACAAUACGAGAUUUCCCAACCCCUCUUCCCUCUCAUCUUUUUCCCCAAACCCCUUAAGUUUACCCCUUUUCAUCUCCUCCUCAACCCUUCCAAGGUACACUCUUCCCCUCUCUUUCCUUAUUUAGUUUUAUUUUUUGUUAAAUUUAUUUUAUCAUCUCACCACAUCACAAUUCUUUCAAUUUCACAUAUUCUCGCCCCCCUCCCAAUCCUCCUUGUUGUUUUUAACAUUUCAUUGUUGCUAAGUGUGAAUUCAUCCAUUCCUAUUAGUUUCCACAACACCAUUCUAGGUAUGGCUAUUUUUUGCUCCCUAUUUUUUUCCCUCUCUUACAUGAUAGUUGUUGCUUAUUUGUGCCUAUUUUUGAUAAUUAUGUUAAGAGGCGGGCUUACUUUGCUGUGGUGUCAAGAAAUUUGUGUAUGGUGUGAAUAAUGUGGCAUGAAUUACUUCUAAAUUAUGGGCAAUUUUUGGUGGAAAUUUGGUGCCUUCAAAGUGUUUGAUGGAUUUCCUAGGUGAACUUAGUUGGGUACAAAGGAACUAUUGUGGCUAUUGUGCUAAUUGAUUUAUGUGGGAAUUGCCAUGUAGAUGAUCGUGAAUUGAAAUUGGGUUUAGAAUACCUCUAUUGCAAGUUCGACCAUAGUUUCCUCUUAUGGCUAGAUUUUAAGCCCUGGCUUAUCUUCCUUUACUGCUAUUUUUGCUAAUGGUUUGCAUGUUCUACACUUGCACAGGUCCAAUGCCGCCUAAAAAGAGAUCUAAAGCCACAACCUCCUCUUCUAGCUCAUUUGACAGGAGCAAAUUCAUUGAACGAUAUAAUAGCCUGGUGGUACACAAGACUUGUAUCCCUAAACGUGGUUUUGACAAUUAUAUGAUAGAGUAGAUAGGUCGACAAAAUUGGGAAGUGUUUGCUCGGCAACCAUGAUCGGCGCUAAUUUCGGUUGUUAGGGAGUUCUACGCCAAUGCGAAGGAGCAUCGAGAUUUCUAAGUGUUUGUGCGGGGUAAAUGGAUAUCGUUUGAUAGAACUCCAUCAACAGGUUUUAUCAUUUGCAAGAUAUUGAAAAUGAUGAGUACUCUAGACUUCGCCACGAGGGUGUUGAUCCUAAUGAGGUCAUUCGAGUCUUGGCUACAACUGGUACUAUAUGGAAACGUUCAAAGACUGAUUUAAUUAACUUCCCUGCUUCUAGUAUGACUUCGGGUUGUAAGGCUUAGCAUCACUUCAUUUUCGGCAAACUUAUUCUCAGUAGCAAUUUAAGUAAAGUAACAAAAGAACGGGCUACCCUCAAUUAUGCCAUUCUGUGCCGCCUAUCAAUUGGUGUUGGUAAAGUUAUUCACAACAACAUCUUACGCACUUUGAAAGGGUCGACGACAGGUGGUCUAGAGCACCCAUCAUUGAUUUAUGAGCUUUGUUUAGCGGGUGGUGUUGUCACAUACCCGACUGAGGAGGUUGUGCACCCCAAACCGGCAAUCACAGGAGCGUGUACUUGGAAGUUCUUACGCUCUCCGAAUCCACCAGUGCUCUACCCCCUCCUCGGAGUGACCAGCUGCCCCGAUCACACCGACCGACCCCAGCUAGUGACCCCACUUCUGACCUUGCCGCUCAGCUUCAUGACAUGCAAUUGCAAAUGAAUUUGAUGCAAAAUACAUUGUGCGAGCAAUUCCAUUAUCAACAUGAGUUCAAUGCGGUACUGGCUUCGAUUUACUACGAUCGAACAUUUCCUCAGCUACCUCUCCUACCUGAUCAUGCUGCCAAUCCAAUUUCAAUUACCUAGGAUGACGAUGUCGAGGACGACGAUUAACGUCGUCCAUCAGGUAAGUCCCUUCCCCAUUUUGUUUCUAUUUCACAUUGAGGACAAUGUUUCAGUUAAGUUUGGGAGGAGUGAAUAAAUUUGCUUACGUUGUUGAGUUUCUCGAACACUUGCAUGUGAUUUGCUUGUUUUAUGUGUUUAUUCAAAAAAUAAUAAUAAUAAUAAUAAUAAUAAUAAUAAUAAUAAUAAUAAAUUAUAUAUGCAUUUUCAUCUUCAGCAUGCUUGUGUGAGCUAGAUAGUCUUGUUAGCUAUGAUGAAUAUAUUUGAGAGCAUGUAUUAGUUUAUGGAUUGUGGAUGAAUCAUAUGUUUUAAUUGGAAUUUCUACUUAUACAUAUGAAGCGGUAUAACAUUUAUGCAUGAGUAUUAAGUUGAGCGUCGUACAAGAACAUGAGGGCUCAUGCACAUAGGCUAAAGAGAUGACUUAGGUGUGUAAUCCCGUGACCUAUGAAUGUCAAUAUCCCUUAACCGUAUACAUUAUAAUUUGGGGCAUUCUAACCAGCGAAAUAAAUGAUUUAAGAUUGUAGUGAUUCCGUGCAUGUGAAAAAAAUUGUGUGGAGUGUAGUUAAUUUUCUGGUAUAAGCUUGGUGAUGACCGAAUGCUAGAAAUAUAACCCCUAUAAUAUUCUCUUCUUUUUAUUAGAGUAGAAGCAUUGCACGUAUUCAGCUGAGUCUCACAGCUGCACCUUUUUUACUCGAGUUAUUAAGUCCGUAGGGGUCUCUUGAAACCUGGUACCCUUUGGUAUACAAAAAAUCAUAGAGUUACCGACCUAACACUCGCUACAGCAGUCAAGAAGUGGAAAAAAGGGUGAGGUAAAAAAAUUAAAUAAAUUAAAAAAAAAAAGGAAACUGAUCUUGGGGGCCUAGAUAACUAGUGGGUUUGAAUCAUUAAGUAUAAACUAGAUUGUUGAAACACUCAUAAAUUGGGAAAAUCACUACAUGAAUGAAUUGUUGACAUUGCCGGUUGAACUAACCCAAAUUAGAGUGGUGUGAGAAAAUCUUAAGCAAAACUGAACUUUAGAAUUACACCAUGGUAAGAGAAUAAAAGAACCGAGUUUGGGGUCUGUGAAUCUUACGAGUGAAGAAAGGAAAUAAUUGACCAUUGAGGGUUGGAAAGUGAACCAACUUGUGAAUGUACGGCGCUGCACUUGACCCUCCACACACAUACCCGCUUCGCGUUGUAUGAGUGGAAGUUUGGUUCUUACAUUGUGAUUUUAACACCAUUCAUAAAUAUAAUAUAAUGUUAUCAAUGCUGAGCCAAAAAGACAAGCUGUCCAACUGACUAGUUGUGUGGGUAUCGUCCUCGGAUGAUUUUACUAUUUGGAUUGUUUGUUUGCUCGAGGACUAGCAAAUGGUUAAGUUUGGGGGUAUUUGAUGAGUUUGUUUCACUCAUGGUUUUUGCACAAUUUUAGUUUGAUUAAAUACUAGAUCUUGUGAUUAUAGAACGUUUUUGAUGUUUUUGUUAGUGUUAUUUUGAAGAUUAGGAGAAGCGAUGUGAAAAGAGGUAUUAAAGUGGACGAAGAGGCCAAAAACACAGAAUUGGGGUAGAAAGACGGCGCUUAGGCGCUGCAUUCAUAGCGCCUAGGCGCUGCGAUUGAAUAUCUAGGGCGCGAUUUUUUAGGUCGUUUUUAAAUCCAUAAAAAUCCUACUUCUAGAUAAAAUGGAGGGGAACUUAUAAAUACAUCUUUCUCAUACUUUUGAAGGGUUCUUGAUAGAUCGGAGAGAAGACAACAAGAAGGAAGAUUCAAAAGAGAAAUUCAAGAAGAUUAACACCAAGCAAUUGGAGAUUAGAAGCAUUCAUUGGAAGAUGAAGGAGAUCUUGGUUCAAAAAUUCUACGUUUUCUUGUACAUCUUUAUUACAAACUCGAUGAUGUAUUCUAAGACAAUUUCCUACUUUUCUUCUUGUAUUAUGAGUAGCUAAAUUCAUUGUUAGGGGGAAUAAUGUAACCAAUUGGGAUCUUUUACAUUUUCUUAUUAAGACUUUCAGUUUUUAAUUUUUCCAUGUGUUGAUUUUGCUAUGAGUUGAAUGCAUUAAAUUAUCUGAUCAAUAAUUUGAUGAUUUUUGUGAAUUCUUUACAAAUAGAGAUAUGAGUUUAGGAUUUAAACUAUGUAGUAAAAUCCAGUACAUUGGUAUAAUGAGUAGAGAUAUCUAUACCAUUUAUUGCGGUCAUAAUUGAAUUUCUAAGACAUAGAACUCAUUUAACUAAGCUGAAUUUGCAUAGAGAUAUGAAAUUUAAUUAGUUGAAUAGGCUCAAUGAGAACUCGAGAGGGGUAAAUUGAAUACAAUAGGAGAAUUCGACCAAGCACUACAUUAGAAUUGAGUUUUAAUUUAGAUGUAAAGGUGAUCAAUUGGUGAAGUUAUUCUACCCUAACAUCCAUUCAUUAUUUGAUUCUCCAAUCAAUCGUAUGAACAUUAAUUUAUUUUCUAGAAUUUAGAAUAAAACCCAGAUUUUACAACCUUUAAUUUGUUUUAGUCAAAUAGUAGUUAAAGAAAAAUUGAAUUAAGUGCUAGAAAAUAAUUCUUGUGGGAUCGACUAACCAGACUCUUAGGCCCACUAUUACUUGUUACGGGUUGUACAUUUGCGAAACAAAAUUCAACAACAUUAGUAAAUUACCCCCUCCUACCUUUUUUUUUUUAAAUUCAAAUCAUCCUCAACCUUUCGAAAAAUAUUGUAAAACUUGUUCUUCCGUCUAUCCCAACCGUUAAAUUCAUGUACGAUGACGUGUACACUCUCGAGCUUCGUGCAAUCUUUUUAUUUGAAAUAUCGUUGGCACACUAUGUACAAUCUUAUGAAACCAGAUUCUGGUUCAGUAAAUGCCAUGGCGAAACGCAUAUUUCCGACAAGGGUUGGAGGAUCUAGAUUCAUGCUGCUUCAAGGGCUUUGAUGUGUUUGUACUAUUAACGUGAAUUUUUUUCACGUCAACUUUUUCAAAAAUAUUAUGCCCCUGUUUCGUAUUGAUUUUAUUUUUGAAUUUUAUCAGAUUUUGAUAGAAACCAUUGUGCAUGUUAAAUUUUUUGCUCUAUUAUUUUUGUAUGAUUCCUAGAAAGCACGGUCAAAAAAAUGUAGAUAAAUACAUUAAGUUCAUGUGAAUUGUCAUUACUACCCUUUGAAUCAAUCCAAAAAAGUGACUGAAUAAAUUGUUACUUUUAAUAUAAAAGGGUAAAAUAGGCAUUGAGAGUAAAAUCCAAAAAGUGAGUGACUACACUUGACAUUGCAUUAAAAAGUAAUAAGGGGACCCAUAUGCAACAUGAUAGUGCAAAAAACUGAUACAUACACACACACACACACACACACACAAUUGUCCUUUCUUCGUACAGAUUUUAGUACGAAAUGCACACCACAAAUACUCAAUCACCUUUUUUUUCCUUUUUCUUUUUUCAUUUUUGUUUCGAGGAUUAUUUGUUUUUCACUCUCUUGGUUACGAAUUGAAUCCAAUUUUCGGGCUGAACCUUCGGAAAAACUUUCUUCCUAAAAUCUCAGUCCCUCUAGUCGAAAAGAUGCCCUCACUUCAAGAAAUGAAUAAAGAUAAAUAAACUUGAAUUUGAGAUAGCUAUUCGAAAACGGUUCUUAUUUGGAAGAAGCAUUGGCUUGGUGUUUCACUCGAUAAAAGUGCGGAGAAUGGCCACUCAUCGAGCCCUGUGCAUCACAUUGAGAUCUUGAUAACCUAGCAUCCAAAUCCAAUUGCGGUUAAGGUUAUUACUUUCAGCAUGGCUAGCGCUAUCUAUACCCGAUUCAUAAUUAGAAAGUUUCUCCGACCCUUUCCUAAUCGGGGCUAAAAUCCAGGAAAUGAAAAAUGCCAAUAUAUAAUUUAUGCUCUUGAAAUGUAAGUAUAUUAUCAUAGGCUAAGCAUAAAAAUUUACUGAGUUCUUGUUUGGUUUAACUAAAAAGUUGGAUCAAAAUUUAAGUCAAAAUCAACAAUUGAUUUUAACCACACAUUUUAUAAGAUCCAUAAUUUUUUUAACUACACAUUUCAUCAAUUUUUAUUAAAAAAAAAAAGGAAAAGAGAAAUUUUUGAUUUUUAUCUAAACCUAAAUGGGGGCAAAGUAAAUUUAUAAUGAAGUAAAUUUUGUUUUAAGUAAUAGUUUCUGCUCGUGAAAAGUAAGGAAAUAAAUAUAUUCGAAGAAAGUUACUUUGUGAUUAGAAAGUAAUAAAAUAUUAAGUUAUCUAAACAUGUUUGAAGACAAAAGUUAAUUAGAAUUGAAUUUUUAUUGGGCUUAACCAUGUUCUAAAUAUUUUUUCAAAAUGAUAAAAGAUUUGAAAAUUCUAUUAAUAUAUUUAUGCACAUACAGGUAGAACUUCUAAGAAAAACCUUCUCAAACAUUUCCUCUGCUUUAAUCAAUGAAGGAAUUGUUAAAUUAUUUUGUAAGAGGGAGAGUUGAAAGGGAUGAGAAGAAUUGCGAAAGCUUAUUAUGACUGCAGAGCAAGUAAAGAGGAAAAGAAGUCAGCACUCAAAUUCCUCUAAAGCCUGGAUAAAAAUGGGGAUGGAAAAGUGGGCCUUUUGGAGUUUAAAGGAGUAUACAAGCUCGUUGUGACCAAAUGACAAAGUCUUAAAAUUAGACACUUGAUAAGCUAAUUAUGCGAAUGGUAUAUGAACUUUAUCUCAAAAGCUAUACAUGAACAUUUGAUGAUUUUGUUGUUCGUGGUUAUUCCAGCAGGUUUAAUGCCCAAGGUAAUUCUACUGGUAAGUAAUGCUUGGAUUUAGUUUAGAGUUGCUGAGUUUGUCCAUAGGGGCUUUGUGGAAGAGGCAGAGUGUUUUGUUUAGAAAAUUAUUUUGUAAUGAAUUUAGUGUAAAUGUGUAGUAUGUUAGAAUUGAGUUGUGACCCGAAUUCUUGUUGAGUAUUUGAUUGAAAAUACGGUUGGAGGACUAUUGGUAGUUGAUAGUAGACUUGAAGAUGUCGAAGGAGUCCAAGACGGAUAAGGAUAAGGACUAGCACUUUUGGCAGUUUUUCCCUCCUAUUUCAACUUAAAUACUCCAUUGGUAGUUUUAUCUAUUAUGAUAGGAUUUCACAUUUUGUUAGACUCUUGUUUGGAUUAAUUCUCCUAGUAUGUUUGGGAUUCUCUUGUAUUAUAAAUAUGUGGUGCAUUAUAUAUAUUUAUUUGAUAUAUUUCGAGAGUGAUCGAAGUGGAUCUUGAUUAAUAGAGAGACUCGCAGAUAAAAAUAUUCAGGAGUGAGUCUUGUGAGAUCUAGUCUAACAUGUUAUAAUUUCUUACUUUUGAUAUAUUGAAUUCUCUGCCUCUACCUAUGAUUUUUUUCGUAUUUGAUUUUGACAUAAAAUCUUAUGGUUUUUUAUUGUUAUUUUCACAUUGCCUGUACCAUGUCUUUAAUAUUCAUAACAAGUGGUAUCAGAUCUAUCACUGUGUUAUAACAAUUGGCUAAAUUUCUAACAUGUAGUAUUAGAGCAAAACUUGUAUCGCUUAUUUCUAACAAGUGAGGUAUAUGAAUUCUUGUUGUAAGAAUUAUGUUACAAAUAAGAAUGAUUUGGAAUAAUCUUGCUUUGUAUAUAUUGAAUAAUAAUUAUUAUUGCAAAAAGGUGUAACUGCCAUUUGUAUUAAUAGACAAAAUUAUUUCCUACUUUUACUACUACUGAAAAAUUUAAACUAUACUCCUAAUACAAUAAAAUAUAAAAGUCAUAUCACAACUAUACAAGAAAACUAGGAUAAAUGAAUAUAAUUGAAAAGAUAAUCAAAACAUAAGGUAAUUUCACAAUUGUAGUAGGAACCAUUAGCUAUAGUUGUGAUGUAUUACAUUAAUCCCCUCCACUUGAAUAAAAACUCAUCCUCGACUUUGGUGACAAUAAGGAAAACUCAUUCAAAGGAUAAUACUCAAGGAUAUCAGUAACAUUGAAAACAUUGAAAAUGUUCAUAUCCACCAGGAGGUCAAUAUUGUAAGCAUUGUCGCCAAUCUUUUGAAGAAUGCAAAAAUAAUCAAUCUACUUAUCUAUGAGCUUAUUGUAUAUACCAUCAAGAAAACAAUUUUUUCGGCGAUGGAUCACCACCAAAUCACCUUCAUUGAACAGCUUAAGGGGUCAAUGUUGGUCUAUAGUAGCCUUGUAACAAACAUUAGCAUCUUCUAAACUUUGUUUUACCUCGUGAUUGAUUCUUUGAAUAUAUUUAGCAAACUCUUUUGUAUUAAAAUUGACAUUAGGGAGUAGAAUAUAAUCUACCAUGCCGUGAAACAUUAAUGUAAGUGAUUUCAAAAGCAAUCUUCUUGGUGAAUCGAUUAUUCUUUAAUGAUGUAGUACAUAAUCAUGAUUAGCUAUUUCCUACUACAAUUGUGAUUUAUAUUUUGUAGUUGUUUUUAUCCUUUUUUAGUUUUCUUUUCUAGUUAUAAUAUGUUUUAUCUUGUAAUUCUUAUUUCUAGUUUAGAGUAGGAUUUCUAGUUUUUCUCAUUGAUUAGAAUAUAAUUUCUAACUUCUUUUAGAUUAAGAUUUUAUUAGUUUCUUUAUUUUACUUUCCUUAAUAGAAGUAGGAAAUUAUCUUCCCUAAAAAUCCAAUGGCAUUGUACACUUUUGAUUAGAAUCAAUUAUUAUUCAAUAUGUACAAAGCAAGAUUAUUUCAAUAUUGACACGACCUGUCCCGAAUCACCUUAGUAGACCCGAGACGUGACAUGCACCGAUAAUAGAUACUGACUAGAUGUCAAAAUCUAUCACCAAGACUGACUAUAAGUUACUUCAAAAAAUGUGUCAAAAUCAAAUGCUUAUGUAAAACAAAAUGCGAUGGGCUCAAAUUAUUUACUUUAUGCCUCAUCAAUAUGAGUUAUGACACUCAACAUGUCAUGUGGCUCUCAAUCCAAAAUCAUUAGGCUCUUCCAACUAAGAAAAAUCAAUUGCUACCUAUAGAAAAAUUUACGGGAAAAUAUAUGAGUUGAUAGCUCUGUGAAUGGGGAAGUUCGAAAAUAAUUAUACUUUUUCAAUUUUACAUUUUUAUCGAAAAUUGAGUUCAUAUCAUUGAAUAGUUCACAAGAUAACAUCAUGUAAUUAUAGCAAAAAAUGUAAAACAUUCACAUGAUGUGGUAAAAUAUCAUCUCAAGUUAUGAUACGAACAUAAGCUGGUAAUCAUGCUAUAAUCUCAUCACAUCAAAUGUACUGAAAAAUCUACAAAAAAUGUACCCUUUGACUAAAAUCUGUAACCUGCCCCUCGAGCUAAGAACUUUCGUAACGGGCCUUUGGCCCCCUCCGUAAACGAAAACCGAUCUCAAGACCUCUGGCAAUCAAUUCUAGAACACGGUCAAAACCCCUCUGUGAACUAUAUAUACACGGUCAAGACCGCUUCUUGUAGGAUAGAACACGGCCAAGGCCCCUUUGUGAACUAGAAGAAGUAUAUAAUCAUAGGUAUUUUUCUAACCGAUCCCAAUACUACAUGUCUCACAUACCAAACAAAUCUCAAUAUCACAUGUCUUACUUACCAAGUCACGAAUGUGCCAUAAAAUAUCUUUGAGAUUCCACAUGUAUCAUAAUAAAAUAGAUUUAUGUAAUAAUCAUAAAAUCGAACACAUAAUUGCACAUACUUCACUAAUGUACUUAAUUUAUAAAUACGUUAAAAAUAUUUAUACUUUUCCACUCACUGAUCUAUGAAUAGAAAUCUGAUUAAAUUGACGAGCCUUUCCAAGCUUUCACAUCUCUACCUGAAACAAAGGUAUAAUUUCUCAAAUUUAAAUAUGACAAUUAAAUUAAUACAAAUCCAAAUCUUAACUUCUCAAUUUCUAUAUUUAUUUUUACAUCCCCAUUUCCCCAACUUUUCUUCUCAUUGAUUAUUUACUAGUCAAUCAUUACACAUAAUCAAAUCAAUUAAUUGCUAUACUUUCUUAAAACCAUCACCUUGUAUAUACACAAUCCCUAUGCAAAACUUAAUCCAUUAACUAAACUUCACUAUUUAUCAUAUAACCUUAUUCAAACAAUUAAAAUCUGAAAAUAAGGGGUUUAGACAAAAACAGCACUAACAUCCCAGAAUACUGAAUUGUAAGACCAGAUUCUGUAUAUUAAAAAUAGUCACCGAAACCAUUGACCGAAAUAGCACUAUCCUGGGCAGAAUUUCAAAAGUAGCACCUACAUGAAUUUCUUACAAAAUUUAAUUAUAAAUAUCAAAAUCGAAUCCUAAUUCCUUUUAACACUCUAAUACCUCAUAAAUCAAGCAUUAUGUAUCAUAUAAACACAAUAAUUGAAAGAUUGGAACUCUAAUUUGCAAAACCAUUUCAUAUUUCCUUCCUUUCAACACUAAUAUUAUUGUUGUUUUUAAUGCCUCAAACAUUUAUCAACAAUCAUUAAUUUUUGCUAAACCUUAAAUUUGAGAAAAUUUCCAUAAACUCAAAAAGAUAAUUCAACCUACUUACACCUACCUCUCUAAAUCAAUGGAGAAAUGGACAAUCCAAGCUUGAAGACCCACCUCUUCUUCUUUCUUUUUUUUUUUUUCUUUUUUUUUUUUUCAUUUUUUUUUCUCUCCUUUUCUUUCCUCUUUUCUUUCUCUUUUUCUCAAUUUUUCUUGCUUCUGCCCGUCUCAACCCUUUGUCACCCGUGUGUGUAUCUAUGAAAAUGGGUAUUGGGUUAAUUACUUGCCACAUGUACCCCAUAACCCAUUUUUGCAUUUAAGUCCUCCAACCUUCAUAUAGAAAAGCUUUUAAAUACUUAACUUCCAAAAGUAGAAAAAUAAUUCCCAACUUUAAUUUUUAUCUAUCUUAAACCCUCAAAUAUUUUCAAUUUGUGAAAUAAACCCCAAUAAAAUAAUUCAUUUCCUUUUAGUCCCUAUUUGAUUUUGACUUUGACAAUUAGACUUAUGACUUAAAAAAAUUGGGUCGUUACAAAUAUCGUUCUUAAUUACUACAUAAUUCUUAUUGCAAGAAUUUUACAAAUGCUUAUGCACCAACUUUAUUCCUUGUUUCAAAAUUAUAUAUGAAAUUAGUUUUGUAUCAAAAUUAUAAGUGUACUCAGAAAUUUGUAUCUCGUUCAUACAUAAAACUCCCGUAUUUCAAAAUUAACGAAACAAUUCACGUGGCAAAUGAUAGGCCCACAUGAAAAUGUCAAGGUGGAUACAUAACAUUACCAAACAACAUCAUUUAAAUUACAUCUUUUAUGAAUUUAAAUCACAAUUUAUUUCAGAAGAGCACAAUAUGCUUUGAAGAGAUUGAGGGAACAUUUUCUUUUAUUUAAUUUAACCACAUUUCAUAUCUAUUUGUUCCCAAAUUAAUUGACCCUCUCAAAGCGAAAGCCAUGAUGCAUUUUCUCAUAAAUUUUAAAUGGUUGUUGAAGAAAAUGUUCCUCAAUCCCUUUGAAUUUUGUUGUGUUCUUACAACGCAUCAUUUUCAUGUAGGCACUUAGUUUACCGCUGAAUUAUUCAGUUACUAUUGACUGAUGGAAGAUAAUACAAAUUUGUAAGUUCAUAUAUGACUUUGAUACAAAGUUGAGUUCAUGCAUUAUUUUGAUACAGGAUAAAGUUCAUUUAUAAAUUUGAUAUAAUGUACAAUUCAUGUACCAUACACAUAAUUAACUUACCAAGUGUUUGUCACACUAUUGCCUUGUAGAACUCCAUUUGCAAGGUGGAUUAUUCCAUUAAUUUUGAUUGAAGAACGUUAACCUGUGAUAUUUGAUACAAAGCCAAAUUUUAUGUAUAGUUUUGAUACGUUCAUGUACAGUUUGCGCAUUUAAAUCUAAAAGUGCUAAGUCAUCUUUGAAAAUUAAUUCACAAUAAUAUAGCAGCUACUAAUAAAAAUUGUAGGUGAGAAUAAUACUUUUAACAUUGAACAAUAUCAAUAGGGCAAGAGGACAUACAGAUUUGGAAAACUAUAAACAGAAUAAAAAUAAAAAAAAAUACAAGAAUCACACAUUUAACAAAACUAGUAGGAAUAAUAAUUAGUUAGUAGAAUUGCAUUGUUAGUCCCCAUAUUGACAUAGUAGCAAAUGGAUCCUCAACAUAUUAAUAUUGGAAUUUAAACUCCCAGUUUGUCAUUUUUGUUGCACUGUGGUCCUCAAUGAACGGAACCAUCUAAACAUAAGUCUCCCAUGUGAGGGGCAAAAAUAUCAUGGCUCAAUUCAUAUAGAAAACAUAAAAGAAACAUCAUGAAAAAAACAAAUAAUUAAGACGGUAGAAAAAGAAGCCCCCCAAAGCCAUAGAAAUGUUCACUCCCAUUCUUACACAUCAUGUCACCACGCACUAUCCACUGCCACAAUCGGGGGCUUAGGUUUAGAUUCUAGAAAAAGAACAGCCAAAAAAAGAAAUUUCAAAAAAAAAUCAAAAAAACAAAAAUUUGCACACUUUCAGAAAAUGGUAAAUUUCAACGUUUCUUAUAAGCAUCUAUUUAAUGGCACACCAAAUCGUAAGCAAAAAAUUAAUUGAGUUUUUUCUCUCUUUCUAUUAACAAGAAAAUGAAAAAACUAACGAAUGAUCUUUCUUUUCUCUGAAAUCUUUAUGCAUAUUGCAUGUGGAAUUAUGUGAAUGUAUCAAUAAUCACAUACAAACACAUAUAUCAAUCCCAUUUUUCAUUAUGAUGACUUUCCAUCCAAUGAGGACUAUGGUGCAAUCAAAACGAGAUUUUGGAAUACAUACUCAAAAACAAAAUAAAAUGGGACCCUUUUUGCUAUUGUCAAUAAAUUGGAGACUGAUUCUGCAAUUUUCCUUAAUCAGCCUUUUAGCCAAAUUAAUCAUAAACAGACUAACAUGCUAGCCGCCACACGACACUCAUCUCCACCUCAAGCCCCCGUAUCCUCAUUUUCUCUAAAUUGGAUUCUAUCAAUAAUACUUCAAACACAUUCGGUUAGUCCUUUUUCUCACUUUCUUUAAUUUUUUUUUAAAGUGCUUGAUGUUUCUCAAAUUGUUUAUCGGCUAUUUAGGGAUGAGGAACCUGGUUUGGCCAUUUGUUGUGGGGUGUGUUAUUAGUUUGAGCUAAUUUGGGAAUGGCCGAAUUUUGGGCUGGAAUUGUAUAAAAAUUUACCAAUUUACCAAUUCCUUAAUUUACUAUUAAUUGUAAGGAUAAAUAUUAUAUUUUUGAAUUUACGCAUCCCUUAAGGGGGAUGUAAGUUUGAUGAUAAAGUCAGAAGCACUCAAGUUCCACGAUUUAAAGGGACCAUUGUCUAUGACAAUGAAAAUGGAGAUUUAGUUGCAAGUAAUCACAUUUUCUUCCUGCAUCUGCAUAUAUUACUUUAUGGAUUUGGUGUCUUGUCAAUAAAAGUUUUAAGCAUCACACUUUUUCCACAAUAUAUACUAAAACAUGAUAUCACAAGUUCGGAACACAUAAUGAACAUGAUUUCCCCAGUGUAUAAUUAAAUAAAUUAGUUCUGUAUUUUCUUUCCCUCAUUUUGUGGUUUUUCUUCUCAAUAUUAGUUAGGGCCAGACAAAACUCCAGAACCAAACCAAUCUGAACAGUUUUUCUUAUGUUAAAUAUCCGAACGAGUAUCUAAAUUGAGAAUCGACGGGUCCAAUUCGAUUCUUGGUUCUAAAUCAAAAAUCGAAAAAUUGAAUAAGAUUCGAAUCUCCCUCAUUUUUUUAAUUAAUUUAUUUUUAAUAUGUCAAAUUAUUUUAUUUUUCCAAAUAAAUUUAUUAACUACAUAAUUUUCCUAUUUCUAAUUUUCAGUUCCAAGCCAACUUAAUCAAACUGACCUAAAUUUUAUCCAAAUCUAUUACUCUAUAGUAGUGUCAUUUCUACCGUUCUGAAAAAAUCAAAUAGAAGCUCGACAACGCCCUUAUAAAUUAUUGUGAGCUCACUAUCUUCAUUUUCCUGUGAUUUUAACAAUCAAAUCUACGAAGAACUUAGUAAAGAAAAACGUAAAAGACACAUAAGAUUGGACUACAUUAUUUUGUAAGACUUAAGAUUGAAUAUAUCAUUAGUUGAAUUAAUAUAACUUUGUAAAUAGUAAAAUAUUUAAUUAUAACACAGAAAUUGGGAACCGAAUAAAACCUAACCCAAAUGGUUCUAUAAUUAAAUUUGAACCCGAUGGUUCCACUUACUAAAUACCCGAAAAUUUCGGAUCCGGUAUCCUAAAAUACAAGCUCAUGAGCAUCAUCUUAAAUUCUGGAUUGUCUUGUAUCUCUGACCGCUUCCUAGUACCUAUCAUCUCCAAAUGAUCCAAUUCGAGGAUUGUUUACUUGGUAACACAAAAAUUAUUCUCUCUCUUUGUGCUAAAAAGUAAAUGAUUCUUAUGAUUUGCAAGUUAAAAAAAUGGUUUCUCAGUCUGCAAUAUUUCCAAUUGGUAGCAUUCUUGGCUUUAGAAUUCUCUACUUUGUUUUAUGAAGUCAAUGAGAUUACGGAAAUAAGAGAUGGAAUUAAGGCCGAAUCCAAGAUUCUGACUUCUCAAUUAUUAAAAAAGGGAGAGGCAAUAUAGGAUUACUAAGAAGUCUCUCAUUUUCAUUGUAAUAUAAAUUUUAUUAUUGGUUUUCUUAAGUUUCAGCCCCCUUAUUGAAAAUUAUGGAGCCUUCCCUGGUUGAAUCCGAUUUGGUAUGAUAUACAUUGUUGAGAUUGAACAUUGUUAUAUGGACUGAAUAUUAUGUUGGAAUAUGAAUUGAAGAGACUUAGAAAUUGAUUUGAAUCUGAAUUGUGGAUGUUGCUGCUUAAUUUUAGAUAAGUUGGCAUGACUCGUAGGUUUCAAUGUAGUGAAUGAUGAGUUGAAUGAUCAUAUUUUGAUAACAGAUUGUAACGAUUCUGUGAUCUCAGGGGUAUUUUGGAGCUUGGAUUUAGAAACAACUGUUGCUGUAGAUUAAGAUCGUCAUUUCUUAUGUCCAAGGCACAUGAUGUGACAGAUUAUUUGUAAUACCUAAUUUAAAACAAGUAAAAAUAAUAAUAUUGGUCAAAAAUGUCAAGCUCUGGAAAAAAAAUAAAAAUAAAAAAAAGCAAAGGAAAAAGGGUUAGGCGAUUUAACCAAUACAUUCCAAUCCAUUUACAUUACACACACGCGCACACACUAGAAAGGAAACGAAGCUGAGAGAUAAAAGAAAGGGGAAAAAAAAGGAAAGGAAGCAAAAAUAGGAAAGUUUGCCUAUGUUGUUAGAAAAUAAGUGCUUCCUACUAGUAAGCUUGAAUUUUUCAAUUCUGAAAGGUAAAUAAACGUUACUUAUUAUUAAGUUAUGUUUAAUUUUAUAGUUGUUAGAUUGUUAGAUUAAAUUCAAUUUUAUUGAAGGGGUUAAAUAUAAUAAACUAUGAAAUUGAGUAAAGUGAAAGAAAAACCAACUUUAGUGAUUAAAGAGACUGUUAAAAUCGCUUAAACGUGAAAUGAUUAAAUUUGGGUAUCGUCUAUUUAAUUAUUGAAAUUACUUAAAAUAAUUAAUUGUUGAUUUAAAAAUUAUAUCAUUUUUCAGGUGGCGAUACUGACAUCAGAACAGCUUACCAACCGAGUUGAUUUUGCGAACAUAGUUCCGUGAGCCAAAAAAACUUAAAUAUUUUCAAGUAUUGAUAAAUUAAUUAUAACAGUACAUUAUUUGCAUUUAUAUGUUCGAUUACAUGAUUAUUUUGGAAAUAUUCUUUCAUCAUGAUAUUUGUGGAAUUCAAAGAUUAGAUAAUAUUUGUGAUUUGGAAUGUGAGACAUGUGAUAUUGAGAUCAACCAAAAAAAUACCAGUGAUUAUAUAUUUCUUCUAGUUCACUGAGAGGCCUUAGUCGUAUUCUAUAAUACAUUGAGGGGUCGACUACGGAUGAAGGGGUCGUGACCCUGUACAUAUAGCUCAAUAAGGAGCCUUGAUCGUGUUCUAGAAUUGAUUGCCAGAGGUCUUGAGACCAGCUUUCAUUCGCGGAGGGGGCCAAAAGCCCCGUGGCGAAAGUUCUUAGCUCGAGGGGCAUAUUACAGAUUUUAAUCAGAGGAUACAUUUUUGGUAGAUUUUUUCAGUAUAUUUGAUGUGAUGAGAUUAUAGCAUAAUUACCAGCUUUUGUUCAUAUCAUGACUUAAGAUGAUAUUUUACCACGUCAUGUGAAUGUCUCAUGUUUUGUCUAUAAUUAAAUGAUAUUACAUUGCGAGUUAUUCAAUUAUAUGAACUCGAUUUUUGAUAAAAUGUAAAAUUGAAAAAAAUAAUUAUUUUCAAAUUUCUCCACUCACAAGCUAUCGACUCAUAUAUUUUUUCACGAUUUUCCUAUAGGUAGCAAUUUAUUCUUUUUAGCUGAAAGAGCAUAAUGAUUUCAGAAUGAGAGCCACAUGACAUGUUGAGUGUUAUAACUCAUAUUGAUAAAGCACGAAGUUAAUAAUUUGCGCCCAUCGUAUUAUGUUUUACAUAAGCAUUUGGUUUUUAUGCAUUUUUUUGAAGUAACUCAUAGUUAAUUUUGGUGAUAGAUUUGACAUCUAGUCAGCAUCUAUCAUUGGCACAUGUCACGUUUCGGGUCUACUAGGGUGAUUCGGGACGGGUCUUGUCAUUAUUUAUGGAAACAUAACAUUGUAGGAUGGAUACACUCCUGCUGUGAUACAAUUCAUGCUAUUCGAAGAUUCUAAGGUUUCCUAAUUCCUAGAGCCAAACCUCAAAAUGAUUCAAUCGAAGCUGAGAACUCUUUCCUUGUUAGCCUUUUAGCAGUGGUAAAAAUAAAUUCUUAGUUGAAUGUUAGAAUUUUGAACAUAUUGUGUAGAGGUGGUUUAUAACAAUGAAUGUCAAUAUGGAAACAUUGUCUUCUUGUCCCAUGAUAAACUUUCUUUUAGUAGGUCGGUCAUGUUAUCUUCCUUAUUUUUGACUAAAGGAUCUCUUCUUGGAAUUGUAAGUUUCUGAUUCCAAAUACACACACACACAAUUGUCCUUUCUUCGUACAAAUUUUCAUACGAAAUGCACACCACAAAUACUCAAUCACCAUUUUUUCUUCCGAUUGUUAAGUAAACUUAGUGUGAUGAUAAGACUAGACAUAAACGUUUCCAUUUGCUAAAUAACCAAUAUUAAGUUUAGCCUCAUAUGAAAAAUAGUAAGAAAAAUUCAGGGUGUUACACAAUAUCCAAACAUUGGAACAUUCGUAGGAAGGAGGGUUAUCUAUUGGGAAAAUUGAGUGAUUUGCAUGUAGAUUUAUUUAAUAAUUAACACAAUAAAAUAACAAAUACAAUUCAAGAAUAUUAUAACAUAAAAUAGAGAAGAGAUUUAGAAAACAAGCAUUGGGAGUCAUGUCGAGAACGUGUCCUAAAGUCGUGUAGCCUCCUUUUCGUGUAGGUUCUUUCAGCACUACACGACUUCAAGAUAAAACGCAUGUGGCUCUCCUUCUAUGGGCACGGCCAUAGGGAGAUAAAGAACGGGCAUUUCAUCAAGUUGCCACAAACUAUAGAAAUAUAGUAUAUAAAAUAUAGAUAUAGUAUUUUAUUUUGUUUGUACCUCAAGUUGUUUUUCUCAAAUGAAAGAACUCCCAUUUAUAGGGAUAAAUUUAACCCUACAAUGACACCAUUAAAAUAUAGGUUACCAUAUGUUUUAAUUUUUAUUAAAACUUAAAAUUAAAGUGUUUUAAUAUUUUGAAAGGUUGAAACUUGUUUUAAGUUACAACAAUACCCCCACAAAUUUUAAGCUUUCAAAAUAAUUUAAAAUAUAUAAUAGUGGCAACAUAAUACUGUGCAAUAGGUGUAGGUGUUUUUUGGACUUGAACCUCACUUAGAGAUAACAAUUUCCAUUUGAGGGAGUCAUAAUGGACUAAGCCUUGAAUUAAGUCCCUUUGGCCAAACUUCAAUUGUUCCACACACAGUAUCGAUUUAGGCUCAGUUCAUUACGGGUAGCGCUGUUAAUGGUCAUGCGCUCUAAUCUUGAUUCUAGUAAGAGUCUCUAGCAAAUAGCGAAAUCCAAUAGCCACGGGCUUAUGGCAACUCUUGCAUUUGUGAGUCCUCCAAGAGUAUGUGUGAACCAUACCUCGCGAGAAUUCUUACAUCGGUACUCAUUCAGGGUUAAACCCUUCCUAACAUCACAUUAUUAUUAGCACUAUAUCACCAUAGGGAUGAGGACAAAUAAUAUAGUGUUAUUAUGAGUCACAAAGGUUGAGUUACUACCACAUUGAACCUUCUUCAUAGGAUCUCUAAUCACAAAGGUUGAGUUACCCCUGAAGGUGACUCCCUGAGGGCUUAGACUCAUCCCCCUCGAUGAUUUAUGUACGUCCCUCUCGGACUACGUAUAUUCAUGUCCUUUUUGGACAAUAUAUUGGUACUAUUAAUUUGCAAAGCUUUUCUUCUUCACCUGCCCAUUUGCAUAUCUGCAAAGUCACCUAAGAAUUUUCCAAAAGUCAAUAUCACAUAUAUAAUUGUAAUAAAAUUUCUGAUAUAACAAGUUUGGGAAAAUGCAUCCAUAGAGCUCUUGCGUUUCACCUGUAAUUUUCAAAUUCAUUUUUUGGCACUAUUCAAGAGUUAGUUUACAACUAGGAAAAAAUAUAAGGUGUAUUUAUAUUAAACACCUCUACAUUCCAAAGAUAUCCAUUUUUGAGGAGUUCUUUUGAAAUUUUCCAUGUCUGUAAAUGCUUCUAAACACUUUCACAAAAUAUCAAUGUCACAAUGACUUAGAUAGACUUAAAUAAAAGGUGUGACAAUGUAGAGAAUAUAAUUGUUCAACUUAUCUUUUUCUAGUUCUAUUUUCAAUGAGAUAUGACAUUUCGAUAUUCAUUCAACUUCUUCUCAACAAUGAAAUCCAAUCACCUUUUUAUAGGUAAAAUUUCAACCCCCAACAUUUAUAGUAUUAAAACAUAAGUUAUAAUAUGUAUUAUGGUACUUUAAUUUUGUGUUAAAACUUAAAAUUAAAAGGUUUUAAUUUGAAAUUUGAAACUUACCACAAAUUAUAAUAUGUAUGUUACAAUUUAAUUCAAUUCUGUAUUAAAUUGAAAUUAAAAUAAAAACAACAAAUUGCUAAUUUGAAAAUUUAAAACUUAAAUUAAAUAUUUUCCGACAAUCCCCCACAAGUUUUAAAUUUUCAAAAAUAUAUAUAUAAUGGCAAAAUUAUACUGUGCAAUAGGUGUAGAUGUCUUUUGGACUUCAACAUUACUUAGUGAUAACAAUUUCCCUUUGAGGGAGGCACAAUGGACUAAGCCUUGAAUUAUGUCCCUUUAGCCAAACUUCAAUUGUUCCACACACAAUAUCGAUUUAGGCUCAGUUCAUUGCGGGUAGUUAUGUAAAUUGUCAUGCGCUCUAAUCUUGAUUCUUGCAAGAGUCUCUAAGGAAUAGCCCAAUCUCAUAGCCACGACCUCAAGACAACUCUUACAUAGGUGAGUCCUCCAAGGGUGUGUGACCCACACUUCGCGAGAAUUCUCGCCUCGGUACUCAUUCGGGGUUAAACCCUUCCUAAAAUUACAUUAUUAUUAGCACUAUAUCACCAUAGGGAAGAGCACAAAUAAUAUAGUGCUAUUACGAAUCAUGCAGUACGGGUUGUUUCUACCACAUUGAACCUUCUUCAUAGGAUCUCCAACGACAAAGGUUGGGUUACUCUCGGAGGUGACUCCCUUAGGGCUUAAACCCAUCCCCCUCGAUGAUUUAUGUAUGUCCCUCCCAAACUAUGUAUACUCAUGUCCCUCUUGGACAAUAAAUUGGUCCAAUUAAUUUCUAAUAUAACAAGUUUGGGAAAAUGAAUCCAUAGAGCUCUUGCAUUUCACCUGCAAUCUUCAAAUUCAUUUUUUUGGCACUAUGCAAGAGUUAGUUUACAACUAGGAAAAAAUAUAAGGUGUAUCUAUAUUAAACACUUCCACAUUCCAAAGAUAUCCAUCCUUGUGGAGUUCCUUUGAAAUUUUCCAUAUCUGUAAAUGCUUCUAAACACUUUCACAAAAUGUAAGUGUCACAAUAACUUAGAUAGACUUAAAUAAAAGGUAUGACAAUGUAGAGAAUAUAAUUGUUCGACUUAUCUUUUUCUAGUUCUAUUUUCAAUGAGAUUUGACAUUUCGAUAUUCAUUCAACUUCUUCUCAAGCAUUGACCAAAGAAAGGAAAUAUCAAUUAAAUAGUUUGACAUCCCCACAUUUUAAAGAUGUCUGACUAACUAAGAGGAUGUUACCUUGUAGAGUUUACCUUGAGGCAAAUCAAAUUAUACAUUUUGUAUGUAGCUCUAUCAGGAAUUAAUGUACCUAAUUUUCUUUCUUACAACCCAGAUAAUGACCAAUAUAUCUAAGAAAAUAUAAGAAAAUGCAUUGUAAUUAUUUAACAUCACAUUAUGAAUUUUCUCCUUUAAAAUUUUCUGCAUCCUUUGCCACAUUUUCAUUUUGAAAUAAUUCAAAACCAAUUUUGACACCACAUAAGUCUAACUUAACUAACAAUGCCACCAAACUGGAUUCUCAUUUUUGAAAUAGUACAAUUAAUAAAUUAUAAUAAAUCUUCCUGAUCACCAUUUCAGUUUUAAGGUGAUGGAGAGAACAUUUAAACCGUUAAGAUAUUCGCAAUGAUCUCUAUAUACUUGUUCUAAGAGAGGUAAGCACUAGGCCCUUGCACUAUUAGUAUCUAUAAAUAUUUUCUUCAAGCAUCAAUCAUAUAAUACGUGUAUAUAUAAGCAUAAAAUCUGUAUUCACAUAUCAUUUCAGAAAGACGGAUUAGUAUUAAUCACCAUAAUGUGCCUAUAAUGACCAAGAAGCAUAUUUGAUCGGCCAUCAUUUUUUGCUUGAUAACUUAAAAUAUGAAGGCUCAUAUAAUCUUAAAAUUAAUUAAACACCAAAUAACGUAUUAUAAUUGUUAAUAUAUAAAGCUUUUGAAACUUAAAUCAAAAUUGAUUAUACUACAUUGAAGUACUAUAUGUUACUCAACAUCAAUAUAAGAGUUACAUUUCUAAAUUAGAUAAUAAUAACACCACUAUCAUUCACAGGAGUUACAAUUAAACUUUUUCUAAAAUAUCAAUUAAGUACAUUCUUUAUGACUCCUAGGAGUUACCUGGAUACAAUUGCUCUUGAUAUCAAUGAAAAUUCUUCAAUGAAUCAAUCAUGGGUAAACAUUGAAUAGGCCCCCUAUCUGGUGUUGCUUUUUGAGUAAAUUUAUCAGAUUUUGAUACAAUUUAUUGUACAUUUGUCUACUAGCGUUUACUUAUUGCCCCUAUUUUUUAUUAUUUUUUUAAUGUAGUCAACAAUUGUGGCUACUUUUUAAUAUGUACGGUGAAUGUUGAAUUUAAGAAGGAAAGGGUAAUAAGGACUUUGCAAUGUAGUGUAGAAGUUAUUCAAAUUGAGCAUUGCUACCAGCUUCAUAUUUUAUCAACAAGGACAAUUUGAUGUGAUAGAAAAAUCAAAUUUCAUCAAGAUUUAGUGCAUCCGGACAAAUGCUAAAUAUUCAGCUAUUAAUAUAAAACAUGCACCAUCGAGAAACCACGGAAUGUAAAUCAAAGGUGUCAUAGCUUACUAGCACAGUUGAAGUUAUAAACAAUCUAAACAAAUCUAUGUACAAAUCAAAUACGACUUUAGGACAACGUCAUCGACGUGACUCCCAAAACUUGUUUUCUAAAUCUCCUCUCUAUUUUAUGUUAUAUUAUUCUUGAAUUGUAUUUGUUAUUUUAUUGUGUUAAUUGUUAAAAAAAACCUACAUACAAAUCACUCAAUUUUUCCAACAAUCUAAAGUCUUGUUGUUUCCCCGUCGUGCGGAUUUUUUCGGCACUACACGACUUCAAGGUAAAACUCAUGUACCUCUCCUUCUAUGGGCAUGACCAUAGGAAGAUAAAGAACGAGCAUUCAAUCAAGUUGCCACAAACUCUAGAAAUAUAGUAUAAAAUAUAGAUAUAGUAUUUUAUUUUUGCUUGUAUCUCAAGUUGUUUUUCUCAAAUGAAAGAACUCCCUUUUAUAGGAAUAAAUUUAACCCCACAAUUAUACCAUUAAAAUAUAGGUUACCAUAUAUUUUAAUUUUAUAUGAAAACUUCAAAUUAAAGUGCUUUAAUAUUUGGAAAGGUUGAAAUUUCCUUUAAGUUACAGCACUAUCUGACCUGAAAAUCUGAAAAUCAUGAGACGAAAGUAAAAUCGCAAGUGCACCGCUAAGGUUUCUAUUCGAGGAGCCGUAAGAACGAGAUAAAACCUCUUAAAAUCAACAAAAAAGAACAGAAGAUAACAAACGUAUGCGAAAGGAUUUGUACGAACGGAUCUUGGGUUUCAAGAACAAUAAAUCCCAAAUCCAACCCAUUACUAUUGCUAAACCAAGUUCAUAAAUCAUGUGUGAAAGGAGGAAUUUAAGCCCCCUUUGGACCCCAUUUUCUGAAAAUGAAAAUGGGGGAAAUAGUGUUUUUUUGAAAAAUGAGUGGUUGAAAAAGAAGGAAAAAUUUUUGAUUUACGUAUAAUAUUAUUUUAUGAAAAAUUGUGUGAUUGAAAAUAAGAGAAAAAAUAAAAUGUAAUGUAAUUGAUUUUAAUGGAGGCCAAAAGGCAGCUAAGAAUGAAUGGUAUUUUGUGGAUAGUCUUUUAAGCAGUAAGGAUAAGGAUAAGGAUUUCUGUGGAGGGUUUGAAAAUUCCAAAGCAAAAACACAAUUCCUGACCUUUUUCUGUCCUCUCAUUAAAACUAUUUGCAACAAGAGAGAGAGAGAGAGAGAGAGCGCGAGAUGGAGAAAGAUCUUGCCAUAGCUUACGAUGAAAGAGCAACUGAAGAGGAAAAGGUCACGGCAAAAAGGUUGGAUCGUAACGGGGAUGGAAAAGUAUGCUUAUUGGAGUUCAAGGAGUCUGUGAGUUCAUGGUUAUCAAGUGAGAAAGUAUUCAAACAACACGAUGCAAAUGGUGAGGGAACUCGGGAAUUUAAUGAUGAUUUAGCCAUUUACUACAAGAAGACGACAAACCGAUCUCUUGUCUGCAGUGGUUGCAAUGGUGUACUACUUGGCCAAUUCUUUUCUUGCUUUACAUGUCUACCGAAAUAUCCCGAAUCUGUGGACCUUUGUUGUGACUGUUACGAUAAAGGGGAAUUCAAACACGAGCACUC
rnacentral:lncRNA from 1 species